rnacentral:rRNA from 1 species
GAGUAACGCGUAUGCAACCUACCUAUCAGGAGGGGAACUAACCGGCGAAAGUCGGACUAAUACCGCAUAAAACAGGGGCACCGCAUGGUGAUAUUUGUUAAAGAAAUUCGCUGAUAGAUGGGCAUGCGUUCCAUUAGGUAGUUGGUGAGGUAACGGCUCACCAAGCCGACGAUGGAUAGGGGAACUGAGAGGUUGGUCCCCCACACUGGUACUGAGACACGGACCAGACUCCUACGGGAGGCAGCAGUGAGGAAUAUUGGUCAAUGGGCGGGAGCCUGAACCAGCCAAGUCGCGUGAAGGAAGAAGGAUCUAUGGUUCGUAACUUCUUUGCAGGGGAAUAAAGUGCAGGACGUGUCCUGUUUUGUAUGUACCCUGAGAAUAAGGAUCGGCUAACUCCGUGCCAGCCGCCGC